rnacentral:misc_RNA from 1 species
GGUUUUUUUUUUUAGGUUACUUGGGCUAAAUCUUAUUAUAUUUUGAAGGAUUUGCAGUAGUUAUUUAGAAUUAUCUGAUGUGGAUUUCUGCACUUGUGGGCUGCUUGUGGCAGCAGGAAUGGAUUAUGUUUUGCCUGCUACAAACCUUGUUCAAUAACUCGUUCCAUGAUGGAGUUAGGACGUUGUAUAUAGUUGGUUCAGAACUUUCUUCAUGGAUCUUUACCUGUAAUUCAAUUUAUUGACCUGCCUGCAUCUUGGCAACUUGGUCAACUGUUUCCCUGAUUAUGAAGAUUGAUUUUGUUUAUUGAAUAAUAUGUUGUGAAUGCUCA